ensembl:lncRNA
GUAAAUUGAUUUGUAUUUUACAAGCACUGUAAAUGCGAAGGAUAUUGAAAGGUAGCCUGGAAAACUUCAGUGUAUGGGCAUAGAGCUCAUGCGCGCGCAUGAGUGGCCAAUGAACGAUACCCGGCCCUCCUCUCUCGGACUUAGCCACGCCCUUCAUUAGAUCCUGAGGGGAUUUUUCAGAACAGAGGUUAUGGCAGUUUCACCAUCCAAUUCCAUUUUUAGCAGGUGUGCUUCCUGGCCAAAGGAGUCAGAUGAGUGCAGGAGCAGCCCCUUCGAGGACAAGGCUUGGAUUCCCAGGAGCAGACAAGGAACUCUGUGGGCAUACUCCAAGGAAACUGGAAUGGCUCUGCAUGUGGUCAACACACACUACCCUGGAAGACCAGAGAGUUCAAGGACGGCCAACUUUCACUUAAGCAAACUUUUUCACAGAGUGUGUGGGUCCCAUCAGCAGAGAGUAGCCUCC